CAGGGUCAACACUAAGACACUGAGUCAACAGUGAGCUCACCGUUUCUACUCAAUGAUUCCACUGGAAAAGCUUCUCCUUUGAAAACGAUCAGAGUCACGAAGCCUAGUUUUAUCACCAGGUUAUUCGGUUGCCAAAGACCUUGGAGCAGGCCUUUGGUACGUUUCAUCUGAUUCUGAAACUCAGCGGUUUCACACCGGAACACAUCAAAACAGGCAAGAACAGGAAGUGGAAAAAACAUUUUGACCCAAUGGAAACUACCUUUAGUUCACCUGGAUUCCUCUGAAACAGCAGUCAAAUGGGCUCAGAUGCUAACUGUGGAAGAGCACCCGCAGGUGGCGUGUCCCCCACAGGGACUUUGUUGGUACCUCAUCAGCAGUGUGUGCAAACCUCGGGCUCUUAUGAUUGUCUCAGUUUGAAAAAACCUCCUCCUAAUAUACAACCAUCUGAGCUGGCUGUGGUGAUGCACGCCUGUAAUCCUAGCACUCUGGGAGGCUGAGACAGGAAGAGGACAAGUUUGAGCCUGGUCUGGGCAACUCAUUGAGACGCUAUCCCAAAAUAAAAAUAAAAAGGGCUGAGGAGGUAGCUAGCUCAUCUUUGCGCUAAACUAGUAUGGCCAGAGAUCUUAACAGAGACACACUUAAUCAUUCAUUCAACGAACACCGACCAGGUACUGUGUCACUGGGACACAAUACCUGUCACUCACAAGUUAAAGAAGGAAAGGUUUAUUUUAGUUCAAUUUGUAGAGGUUUCAGUCCAUAGUCGGCUGGCUCCAAGGCAGGGUGGCACACUGCAGAGGGGCAUCGCAGAGGAGAGCAGGCAAGAAGCAGGGAAAAGGCCAGGGAGGAGGAGGGAGACAGACCCUGCCAGGCCACGCCCCCAGUGACACCUCCUCCCAUCAGGCCAUACCUCUCCACAUCACAUUCAGCCGUAAACCCGUCACCGACUGAUCCACUGAUCCAGUCCCCCCCCCCGCCCCCCGCCCCCCGCCCCACAUCCCCUGUGAGCGCCUGAGGCUUUGGGGAGCAUCUAGACUUAAACCAUAACAGACAGGAGUGACAGAAACGGUGACUUGGAGUUCUAAGGACAGGACUGAGCCCGGACAGGGUGCAGCUGAGGAGGAGAGGACAGGACAGUACCCCCCCACACACCCCAUCUCAGGGUUGCCUGGGUCCUGCGGGUCGGGCGGGGGAAGCCGCAGUUGGCUUGGCUGACCAAGGUCUUGGUGCCUCGCCCGAGGUGUUGCUUUUGUGGAGGGCAGCACACCACACAGAAGGGCUGCACACUUCCUGUCUUGGUGCGCAGUGAGGACAACCUCUGGGGGUGAGUUGGUCCUUCAGGGCAUGUGCUGUGCAGCUGGGGGCCUGUGGGUGGCUCUCAUCCUCGGACCUCUGCCCCAGGCAGCCCUGACACUAAGGGAGUUUGUCCCUACUAAUGGCCAGUGAGAGAGGUGCUGUCACAGCACAGAGGCUGUUGGGAGCAAUGCUACAUAAUUCUAGGGAAAAAUCAUUUGAGUAGGCCUAGUUCUCCUGCCUACAGACCAGCUACGACAUUCCAGACGUAACUGCAUUUUGGCCUCGGGUCACAACUGAGACCUCAGUGAUCCCCAGAUGCUGUAAUGCUCCAGGACAAGACCACACCUGCCGAGACACCGGAGAGGAACCAAAUCUUUAUCUGUAUAGUUCCUCAUAGUUCUUAGAUUGCCACUGCCCCCCAGUCCUGUUACACCUUGUUUAUCCCAAUGUGAAGUGCUAAACUCUGCAUUUUUCACUUGUUACAUCUGUCUCCCCAUGUACUGAAUAAAAAGUGCUGCAAGCUAGGGGGCUUUUGUCUUUGCUGCCCGGAGCAGCACUGAUCAGACCCAAAG
ensembl:lncRNA